rnacentral:lncRNA from 1 species
AUGUGUAGGUUUAUUUUUAAAUACUUGAGGAUAGAGCUCAGGGACAAAACUGUCUUGAUUCUUUCCCUUCAGGUUUCCACAAGAGGAGAAAAUGUUCCCUUAUUCUUUCCACAAAGGAAGAAGGAAACUAAGGGGUCAGCCUUGAGCUCACUUCCGACCUGCUUCUUGGAAAAUGAUCCAAUUGAGAGGAAAAAAGGAACGGAAAUGGACAUCAGAUACGCAGCUGCUCACCUUCUCCUUCAAUUCAGUCCUCUCCAGGAAGAAAAACAAUCUUCAGAAAGGAAGAGAAAGAAACAACAUAAAGAAGAAAACAUAGCCCACAAUAAGUAACGAAACAAUAGAAGAUCUAGUAGCUGCUUUAAGAGGGUCUAAAUCUCCAGCAAAAGCAAUCUACAUUUCACCAUAGCUAACUAAAUUUAAAACUUGUUAUCUAUAAUCUGCUAUCAGUAAUCACACUGAGGAAUCAUGACAAAUGACUAAAAGAAGAAAACAGGAGGAU